rnacentral:rRNA from 1 species
UACGUAGGGUGCGAGCGUUGUCCGGAAUUAUUGGGCGUAAAGAGCUCGUAGGCGGUUUGUCGCGUCGACUGUGAAAACCUGGGGCUUAACUCUGGGCCUGCAGUCGAUACGGGCAGACUUGAGUUCGGUAGGGGAGACUGGAAUUCCUGGUGUAGCGGUGAAAUGCGCAGAUAUCAGGAGGAACACCGGUGGCGAAGGCGGGUCUCUGGGCCGAUACUGACGCUGAGGCGCGAAAGCUAGGGGAGCAAACGGG